rnacentral:rRNA from 1 species
GUGGGGAAUCUUCCGCAAUGGACGAAAGUCUGACGGAGCAACGCCGCGUGAGUGAAGAAGGUUUUCGGAUCGUAAAGCUCUUUCGUUAGGGACGAACGUGCUCUUUGUGAAUAAUGAGGAGUAAUGACGGUACCUAAAUAAGAAGCCACGGCUAACUACGUGCCAGCAGCCGCGGUAAUACGUAGGUGGCAAGCGUUGUCCGGAAUUAUUGGGCGUAAAGUGCGCGCAGGCGGGAUAUCAAGUCUGUCUUAAAAGUGCGAGGCUCAACCUCGUGAGGGGACAGAAACUGGUAUUCUUGAGUGUCGGAGAGGAAAGUGGAAUUCCAAGUGUAGCGGUGAAAUGCGUAGAGAUUUGGAAGAACACCAGUGGCGAAGGCGACUUUCUGGACGAUGUCUGACGCUGAGGCGCGAAAGCUAGGGGAGCGAACGGGAUUAGAAACCCGGGUAGUCC